rnacentral:rRNA from 1 species
CCGAACGCUGGCGGCAGGCCUACACAUGCAUGUCGAACGGAUCUUCGGGAUCGGUGGCGGACGGGUGAGUACACGUGGGAACGUGCCCUUUGGUUCGGAACAACUCAGGGAAACUUGAGCUAAUACCGGAUGUGCCCUUCGGGGGAAAGAUUUAUCGCCAUUGGAGCGGCCCGCGUCUGAUUAGCUUGUUGGUGGGGUAAUGGCCUACCAAGGCUACGAUCAGUAGCUGGUCUGAGAGGACGAUCAGCCACACUGGGAUUGAGAUACGGCCCAGACUCCUACGGGAGGCAGCAGUGGGGAAUAUUGGACAAUGGGCGCAAGCCUGAUCCAGCAAUGCCGCGUGUGUGAAGAAGGCCCGAGGGUUGUAAAGCACUUUCA